AUCACCAAUAUUUUUUGUUUAAUUUAAUAUUCCAUCUUCAAUCCAACGACAAUAAAUUACUGCCGCUCCCAAAACCUCUACGGCCGCCGGCUUCAUCGCCGAUUUCUCAUCUUCAAUCCACCAUCUUCUUCUAUUCACGCACUUUUCUUCCAUCUGCCCAAAAAAAUAUCAAUGAAUGUCCGUGAUUUUCUUUGUUUAAAAGGCCAUCCCUCAUUCACACUUAUAAUGCAUCUGAGAUUGAGAUUAUGCAUAAUGCAUUAAUUCACACUAGUGGCGUAUGGGAAGAGGGGGCGUUGAAAGGAAUUUUGAUUGGAAUCGUCAACUCCGGCCUGUUUCAAAUGGAAUUGAGAUUCCGAAAAAUAGCCAGAAUUAUGCUUGGCCGGAAUUGAAUUCCGGAAUAAUUGAACUGACGCUUUACGAUGAAAAUUAAAGAACUGAUCAAUCCCUGACCUCAAUUCUUUGGCGGAAAUCAACGCCUUGAUUUUAGACAUCUACCUAUACAUGGGUUAUCAAAUUUCAUUUCAAGCAACAUGUUUAGAAGAGUGGCCGCCGUGUGUGGUUGUGGCUUGGAUGUAUGUUAGCUGUAGGAUUUUGAGUUCCUGGUGUUUUCUGGGUGGUUUGUGCUGGUUUGCUGCUGUCCAGGGGAGGGGUUUUUUUGCCCCUUGUUGUACAUUUCUGUAAUCUUUCCUUUCAUUCCUCUUAAUACAUAGCGCACUUGAUAAUAAAAAAG
rnacentral:lncRNA from 1 species